UACGUAGGGGGGCUAGCGUUGUCCGGAAUCAUUGGGCGUAAAGAGCGUGUAGGCGGCCCGGUAAGUCCGCUGUGAAAGUCGGGGGGCUCAACCCUCGAAUGCCGGUGGAUACUGUCGGGCUAGAGUGCGGAAGAGGCGAGUGGAAUUCCUGGUGUAGCGGUGGAAAUGCGCAGAUAUCAGGAGGAACACCGAUUGCGAAGGCAGCUCGCUGGGACGUUACUGACGCUGAGACGCGAAAGCGUGGGGAGCAAACAGG
rnacentral:rRNA from 1 species